rnacentral:rRNA from 1 species
UACCAGCACCCCGAGUGGUCGGGACGAUUAUUGGGCCUAAAGCAUCCGUAGCCGGUCAUGCAAGUCCUCCGUUAAAUCCACCUGCUUAACAGAUGGGCUGCGGAAGAUACUAUAGAGCUAGGAGGCGGGAGAGGCAAGCGGUACUCGAUGGGUAGGGGUAAAAUCCGUUGAUCCAUUGAAGACCACCAGUGGCGAAGGCGGCUUGCCAGAACGCGCUCGACGGUGAGGGAUGAAAGCUGGGGGGAGCAAACCGG